CAGGCGCUCCAGCAGGUAUAUCUCACUGUUCCUACUUUGGCUGCCUUUCCUUCCAGAUCUCUGCUGUCAAUGACUGGAAUGAACUUGGGAAACAAAAAAACAACAAAAAAAAUCAAGAAAAAUAAAAAAUAAAAAUCACUGAAGCUGGAGACUCAUAUACCCUUCACUAAGUUUAAGCACCAGCUGUCAGAGCAGAUCACAGCACAUGUGCAUAGCCCAUCUGUAAAUAGCCCAUCCAACUACCUCGUCCCCCAUACUGUUGUUUAUUUUGCUCAUUUGCACCCCAGUAUCUCUACUUGCACACUCAUCUUCUGCACAUCUAUCACUCCAGUGUUUAAUUGCUAUAUUGUAAUUAUUUCGCCAUUAUGGCCUACUUAUUGCUUCACCCCCCUUAUCCUACCUCAUUUGCACACACUUUGUAUAGAACUUUCAAUUGUAUUAUUUACUGCAUGUUUCUUUAUUCCAUGUGUAACCCUGUGUUGUUGUUUGUGUCACGCUGCUUUGCUUUAUCUUGGCCAGGUCACAGUUGUAAAUGAGAACUUGUUCUCAACUGGCCUACCUGGUUAAAUAAAGGUGAAAUAAUAAAAAAUAUUAAUAGUUCAGAACGAGUGUCGGGGCUCAUAACAAAACUCCCCCGUGUACAGAUGACGCCUUCAUCCAAUGACUUAUGUGAAAUGUAAAGGAAAGGAAUCAUGAUCAAGGGCUAACUAUCAAGGCUUUCGCAUGCUUCAGUUCAGAUGGCACCUAGACAAACGAGUGUGCUCGCAUAUUCCCCUAAAAGACUUUUGCUUAAAACAAGAUUAAAGCAGAAUAUGUACUGUUUGUCCAUCUUGAGGCGUCAUAGCCAGAAGCCAUACACUUCCUCAAAUCGUCAGAAUGAAUCUUAGAUAACUCAAGAAAUCUAUCAUUGAGUUUGACUUUUUAGCUGAGGAGAUCUUAAUCUCGCAAUUUGAAAUACAACAGUUUUUUGGUGCAGUAUUUCUCAAGUGAAAAAAUAUGUAGUCUAUCCUUGAAUGACAAAAAAAAACACUUAAUUUGAGAAUCCCUACUGUUGACCAAUGAACGACAAAAAGGGGCGUAGACUUUGGCCACCGAAAUUCGGCUUUCCUCAAAAAAAAUUGCGCGCACAAACAGCCGAAGAAACCCUUUCUGAAGACCAAAACAUCACAAAAUGUCAUUAUUUCGGACGGGAAGUAUUGCAGACACCUUUAAGCCUUAUGCAUGUUUUGGCUAGGCGAACCAAACGAGGGUGCUUGCAUACUCCCUUAUAAGACCUUCGCUUGAAAAACAAAAAAAAGCUGUAUCUUGAAAUGCCGUCCCACAUGCACUUCCUCAAAAUAGUCUGAAUUAAUCUAAGAUAACUGAAGAAAUGUCAUUAAUUUAAACGUUUUUGGUCAAGGAGAUCGUAGUUGGACAAUUUUACAUAUAAGAUGUUAGGUGCAGUAUUUUUCAAUGACAUUUUUCUGCAUAAAACCAUUAGUCCUUGAAUUACAAACAAUUCAUUGAAGAAUCCCUACUUUCGACCAAUCACCAAUGAAGGGGCGUUAUCUUCGGCUACCGACUUCGGCUUCCCUCAAGAAAAAUGUGCGCACGAACAGCCGAAAAAAACUCGCGGAAGACAAACGUAACAUGUCUUAAUAUAUACACGAACUGUUCCAGAUGGGAAGUAUGUGGACGCCUUAAGCCUACAUGUACAGUUUGUCCUGACAAAGACCAAUUUGCGAUUUAUCAUUUUAGGUCGUUGCUGUAACUGAGAAUGUGUUCAACUUACCUGGAAAAUGGUCCAAUUCGCACACUUUUCAAGACAUCCCUGGUCAUCCCUACUGCCUCUGAUCUGGCGGACUGACUAAACACAUGCUUACUUUGUAAAUGAUGUCUGAGGGUUGGAGUGUGCCCCGG